rnacentral:rRNA from 1 species
AAUCAACGCUGGCGGCGUGCCUAACACAUGCAAGUCGAACGCGAAAGCCCCGCAAGGGGUAAGUAGAGUGGCAAACGGGUGAGUAACACGUGGGUGACCUGCCUUCGAGUGGGGGAUAACGUCCCGAAAGGGACGCUAAUACCGCAUGACAUCCUGCUUUUGAAAAAGCGGAGAUCAAAGCUGGGGAUCGCAAGACCUAGCGCUUGAAGAGGGGCCCGCGCCUGAUUAGCUAGUUGGUGAGGUAACGGCUCACCAAGGCGACGAUCAGUAUCCGGCCUGAGAGGGCGGACGGACACACUGGGACUGAGACACGGCCCAGACUCUUACGGGAGGCAGCAGUGGGGAAUUGUUCGCAAUGGGCGCAAGCCUGACGACGCAACGCCGCGUGGAGGACGAAGAUCUUCGGGUCGUAAACUCCUGUCGAGCGGGACGAACGCUUCGCGGAUGAAUAAUCCGCGGAAUUGACGGUACCGCUAAAGGAAGCCCCGGCUAACUCCGUG